CUUUCAUACUCUUGCAAUUUCUCCGCAAAAGACUUUAAUGGAAGUGGCCCAUCUUUUGGUUAAAUUAUCAUCAUUUGCUAUCAUCGUGUUCAUUGAGUUUGAUAGUGUCUAAUCCCAAGGGUGCUUCUAAAAAUGGAGAAAAUUUAAUGCCCCGUUAUGGGGAGCAAUAUUUCAGUAGAAUGACAAGUUUUAAGGUGGUUUCAGAAACUUGAAAUUUUUAACAGGCACUGGUGUAUCAAGGCAUUCAUUUUUGUGAAAUUUUGGCACCAAUUUAUUGUCGUAAUAUUGUGCAUCUCUAACCAUAUACGCAGAGACGAAGCUGAGACAGACUUUUUACUGAUCUCUGUGCUGUCAACUAACAAUUAGCUACUUAAUUAUCCCAAUUAAUGUCAUUUCAUGCAAUUGUACAAAGAACUCCAUCUAUGUUUCUUCAUAGCCAGACCUAAGCCCUGACAAAGGGAAGUUGUGGUAGGUUGACUGUGAGCAUAGAACUUAGUCACAUCUCAUGACAUGAUACUUCUAUAUAGGGUUGGGCAAAUCUCCCGAACCGAACCCGACGGUUCUUGUCAAAUUAAAUACCCGAACGGGUAUCUGAAUUGAGAAUCGACGGGUAUGGUUCGGUCUAGAACCGAAUCUUUCUAAUUUUUUUUUUUUUUUUAUUAUAUUGAGUAAAUCAAAUUAUUUUAAUUUCAAUUUUUUCUAAACAAAUUAACAAUUUCUAAAUCCAAAUUUUUGGCCCAAUAAUUUGUUUUAUUUCUAAUUUUUUAAUUUUUGGCCCAAUUACCCAAUUCAUUGUUUCAUUUCUUAGCCCAAUAAGAUUCAAUUCACUAAAUAACCCUAAACACCUACACUAAAGUGCAUAACGUUGUCUCGACUCUCACACUCGCUCUCCUAGCCUCGCUAACAUUCCAAAACCUAUACAAUCUUCGGCCGACGCUGUGACCUCCGAUCGAAGCUGUGACCUCCGCCAACCGAAACUUUGACCGUAGCGAUCAUUUGAACAAGGUGGUCUACUAAUCUCUGACAUUCCAAAACCAUUGAAUGUAUCAUUAGUUGUAUUUAUAUAAUGUUGUUAUAAAUGUUAAAAAAUUUAAUUAUAGUACCGAACCGAACCGAAUCGAAUCGAACCGAACGGAACCGAACCCAAACGGUUCCAUAAUUAUAUUUGGACUCGACGGUUCCAUUUACUAGAUACCCAAAAAUUUUGGUUAGGUUCGGUUCUCCUUAGAGCCGAACUGAAUCGACCCGCGCCCACCCCUCCUCCUAUACAUUUGUAAAAUUUGUAUGUAUUAGUAAGAAGCAAAAUUUACCCACAUGUUAUUGAUAUAUGCUUCAUCAUAUAGACAGGAAUACAUGGAAGGAUAGUUUCAUCAGAUCGUGGUAGACCCUUGCCAGCGACAAUAGCUAUAAGGGGAAUAAACUACACGGUAUGAUCAGCCAUCAUUUUUCGGUUGUAAGCAUUAAACAAAUCAGGGAACGCUUUGUUUUUAUUUGCUUUACUGAUUUAUUAAAUGACCUUUAAAUUGAUUGCUAAGUGACUUAUCAUCUAGUUCUGGAUGUCACACCCUCUUGGCACUGUAGCUAGACUAUUAUUGAUAUUAAGCCCUUGUUUGGGCUCCAUUUUAAUGAGUUUUUGAGAAAAAUGCAUUUUGAAAUGGUAAUUUCUUGGAGAACGUGUGGUUAGAAAAGAAGAAAAAGAUUUGGGUUUAUGUAGAAUAUUAUUUUUUUGAAUGAUGUAUGGUUGAAAAGAAG
rnacentral:lncRNA from 1 species